rnacentral:rRNA from 1 species
GAUUGAACGCUGGCGGCAUGCCUUACACAUGCAAGUCGAACGGCAGCACGGGGGCAACCCUGGUGGCGAGUGGCGAACGGGUGAGUAAUACAUCGGAACGUGCCCCGUAGCGGGGGACAACCAGUCGAAAGACUGGCUAAUACCGCAUACGCUCCACGGAGGAAAGCAGGGGAUCGCAAGACCCUGCACUAUGGGAGCGGCCGAUGCCCGAUUAGCUAGUUGGUGAGGUAAAGGCUCACCAAGGCAACGAUCGGUAGCUGGUCUGAGAGGACGACCAGCCACAC